CAAAAGACAGACUGGUGUUAAAGGAGCGUUCUACUUACAUUACGGUGACAGUUCCAACAACUAUUUGCACUCUUCCAGCCUUACUUUAGCAAACAUUUCCAAGCUCUCUGGAAGCUCUUUGGAAGUACGAGGAGGCGAUUGUCCCUCAGCGAUAAAUACUUUUCACGUUCAUUCACUUGGGAUUCAAAGUCUGAGGGGAGUCACAUCCCAGGUCAUGAUCAAUUAUUGACAAGGGAUCAACAAAGGAGGGGACUCCAUAUGGUACUACUUCAGUCAAACACUGAAGCCCAAUGUACAAGAGAGACUAACAAGACAGCAGUGGGUGCCAUUUGAUAACCCUCCUUGACACAACAUACAUACAACAAGCAUUUGGUACUACCAGCAACAAUUGCAGAUUGCAUANGAUAGGACUUCAUAUGGGGAUACGAGAUACAUUUUGUUGGUAGAGUCAGCCUCAGUGGUUACAGGUAUCAGUAUUUUCUUUAACUUUGAAAGAGAGCUCAGAAUCAAAUGGAAAAAUGAGAAUGUGAACUCAUCAAACAAAACUUGUUCAAUUUAUGGAACAAAAAUAUUUAUUCAUUGAAAUUAUGAAUAAAAUGGUUCGUAUUGAAGUGGAAAAGUAAUCUAUUAUGUGAUUAGAAUUUCUGGCCAUUCACAUCAAAGACAGUUAUAACACUGAUUGACUUCAGAGUGAUUUCACUUAAUUAACCCUAACUUGUAGAUUCUGUGAUGAGUUAAAUAAAAACCACUCUAAAGAGUU
rnacentral:misc_RNA from 1 species